GUGCUCGCUUCGAUGGCACAUAUCCUAACACUGGAAUGAUAGAGAUCAGCACAGCUCCUGUGCAAGGAGGACACGCAAAUCUGCGAAGGCAACACGAGUGAU